rnacentral:rRNA from 1 species
CAGGCCUAACACAUGCAAGUCGAGCGGGCACUUCGGUGUCAGCGGCAGACGGGUGAGUAACACGUGGGAACGUGCCCUUCGGUUCGGAAUAACUCAGGGAAACUUGAGCUAAUACCGGAUACGCCCUUUUGGGGAAAGGUUUACUGCCGAAGGAUCGGCCCGCGUCUGAUUAGCUAGUUGGUGGGGUAACGGCCUACCAAGGCGACGAUCAGUAGCUGGUCUGAGAGGAUGAUCAGCCACACUGGGACUGAGACACGGCCCAGACUCCUACGGGAGGCAGCAGUGGGGAAUAUUGGACAAUGGGCGCAAGCCUGAUCCAGCCAUGCCGCGUGAGUGAUGAAGGCCUUAGGGUUGUAAAGCUCUUUUAUCCGGGACGAUAAUGACGGUACCGGAGGAAUAAGCCCCGGCUAACUUCGUGCCAGCAGCCGCGGUAAU